AUUGAACGCUGGCGGCAGGCUUAACACAUGCAAGUCGAGCGAGCGGCGGACGGGUUAGUAAUGUCUGGGAAACUGCCUGAUGGCGGGGGAUAACUACUGGAAACGGUAGCUAAUACCGCAUACCAUCAGAUGUGCCCAGAUGGGAUUAGCUAGUAGGUGGGGUAAUGGCUCACCUAGGGGACGAUCCCUAGCUGGUCUGAGAGGAUGACCAGGCACACUGGAACUGAGACACGGUCCAGAAUCCUACGGGAGGGAGCAGUGGGGAAGAUUGGAACAUGGGCGCAAGCCUGAUGCAGCCAUGCCGGGGGUGUGAAGAAGGCCUUCGGGUUGUAAAGCACUUUCAGCGAGGAGGCGUUACUCGCAGAAGAAGCACCGGCUAACUCCGUGCCAGCAGCCGCGGUAAUUC
rnacentral:rRNA from 1 species